rnacentral:miRNA from 1 species
CAUUUUGUGUGGAAAUAGCAC